rnacentral:rRNA from 1 species
GAUGAACGCUGGCGGCGUGCCUAAUACAUGCAAGUCGAGCGGACAGAUGAGGAGCUUGCUCCUCUGACGUUAGCGGCGGACGGGUGAGUAACACGUGGAUAACCUACCUAUAAGACUGGGAUAACUUCGGGAAACCGGAGCUAAUACCGGAUAAUAUAUUGAACCGCAUGGUUCAAUAGUGAAAGACGGUUUUGCUGUCACUUAUAGAUGGAUCCGCGCCGCAUUAGCUAGUUGGUAAGGUAACGGCUUACCAAGGCAACGAUGCGUAGCCGACCUGAGAGGGUGAUCGGACACACUGGAACUGAGACACGGUCCAGACUCCUACGGGAGGCAGCAGUAGGGAAUCUUCCGCAAUGGGCGAAAGCCUGACGGAGCAACGCCGCGUGAGUGAUGAAGGUCUUCGGAUCGUAAAACUCUGUUAUUAGGGAAGAACAAAUGUGUAAGUAACUAUGCACGUCUUGACGGUACCUAAUCAGAAAGCCACGGCUAACUACGUG